UCAAGAACAUUUGACAAUGGGCGAAAGCCUGAUCAAGCGACGCCGCGUGCAGGAAGAAGGCCUUCGGGUCGUAAACUGCGGUAGCGGGGGAAAAACGCAAGUGAUUGUACCCCGCGGAAAGAGGUGGGUAACUACGUGCCAGCACCAGCGGUAAUACGUAGACCUCAAGCGUUAUCCGGAUUUAUUGGGCGUAAAGCGCGUGUAGGAGGUUUUGCGCGUCUCAUGUUAAAGCCCACCGCCUAACGGUGGAACUGCAUGGGAUACGGCAAGGCUAGAGGAGGUUAGAGGUGCAUGGAACACACGGUGUAGGGGUGAAAUCCGUUGAUAUCGUGUGGAACACCAAAGGCGAAGGCAGUGCACUGGGACCUUCCUGACUCUGAGACGCGAAAGCGUGGGGAGCAAAAAGG
rnacentral:rRNA from 1 species